rnacentral:rRNA from 1 species
UACGAGGGGGGCGAGCGUUGUUCGGAAUUAUUGGGCGUAAAGGGUGCGUAGGCGGUUUGGUAAGUCUUGUGUGAAAUCUCCAGGCUCAACUUGGAGUCUGCACGAGAAACUGCCGGGCUUGAGUGUGGGAGAGGUGAGUGGAAUUCCUGGUGUAGCGGUGAAAUGCGUAGAUAUCAGGAGGAACACCUGUGGCGAAGGCGGCUCACUGGCCCGGAACUGACGCUGAGGUGCGAAAGCGUGGGGAGCAAACAGG